AUGAUCGCCGAGUACACCGACACCAGCGCCUUCAUCCCCGAGCUGAACAACGACGGUGUUGCUCUACCGGAGGAGUGGUUUGGGCUGAACCUGGCAGAUGGUGAAGACUCGAUGGAGGAGAUCGACUCCAGCAACGAGAGUGAAGAGGAGGAGGAAGAGGACGGUGAAGAUGCUGCACCAGAUGGUGGAGCAGCCGACCAGCCUCGGCUUGAUCGUGCCUCUAGCAAUGAGGCACGUGCGAACACGCCGCCUGCCACUAGUGAUGACCAAGCCGGGACUCGCUAUCCGGCCACUCCUCCAGCCAGCACCGCCGUCUCCAGAGACCUGCCCAGCUCGCCCGUUGCGCCCUUGGCCUGA
rnacentral:rRNA from 1 species